UAUCCUCUUCCGCCUUUGAUUCCGCACGUCUUCGCGGCGUAGGCGUCAGAGGUACUCUUAUCAAAGUCCCCGGUGUGGGAGGAACACCAGGCGGUCUCUUGGGCCGGGCUUGUAAUCGGAGAUCUUUAUUGUCAAUCGCAAUACUCUUUGUACACUGCCACAAAAUUGCCGUCAGUCAUUGUUUUUUGGACUCCCCAAAAUAUGGAAAAAAAAAAAAAAAAGAUCAACCUACGUUGGAUGUUUUGUAAAUACCGACAAGACGAUGGCCCGCUUUCCUUUAUCAGCCAGGCUUAGAGACUUGAGACAUACAAUUGCGCCGCCUGGGUUUUUGAUUGGAUAUAGUUGGCCACAAUCGAGACGUUUUUGAAAUCCAGCGCCGCAUCAAUUUCGUCCAUAAAGUAAAGAGGCGUAGGCUUGAAGACGUGCAAGGCGAAAACAAGAGCAAGCGACGCCAGCGUCUUUUCACCACCAGACAGGUUGGCAAUGGCUCGCCACGACUUUUUGGGAGGCAUGAUGGAGAGUACAACGCCUAUCCAGCGGGUUAGAUAUACGCCAAAAUGCACUCAACACUGGAUCAACUCGCCUUCAGAGAAUGGGUCCAUGCUAUCAAUCAACUCGAUCUCUGCAUUACCACCCAUGGUAAUCAUCUAUCGCGUCCGUUAGCUCCUUUGAAUCAACGGGUCGUAAAAAAAAAAAAAAGAGACUUGCCUGAUACAUUUCCUUCAAUUUAGCCGUAAUGGCCGUGAACCCUGCCAUAAACUCAUCCAAUCUAACCUUUCUCAGCUCAUCGUACCGGGCUUUGGCCGCAUCUCGAGCGUUCGUAACCGUUUCGAGGUCUCUCGCUCGGUCCAGAAACUCGGCUUCUCGUUUACGGUACUCGGCGAGGAUGUUGAGGUUCGGUCGGGAACUCUUAACGUCAUCUGCAGAUCCUCAAAUUGUCAGCUUUAUUUCAAUGACCCAAAAGAAAAAGGAAAAAAAAAACCUCGACUCACCUUCAAGUUCGGCAAUGUAAGCCUUCAAUGCCGUCUCAUUCGUAGCUCGCAGUUCGUCGGGAGAAUACUGUUCGAGUUCCAUAUUGCUUUGCUUCUUCUUCUUCCUGGAAGGCGCUUUUCCUGCAUUUUCAUCCUCAUGCUCUCCACCCGCUCCAUCCCCUUCAUUCACCUCGCCAGUAUCAUUCACCUUUUUCUCAUCUUCAUCCGCAACAGUUGCUUCAUCCUCCUCCUCCUCGUCAUCCUCGCUACAUUACACAUUACCAUGAGCUCAAUUCUUGUCGCGACAUCAUCCACACUUACUCAAUGUAGACAAGCUCUAGACCCGCUAAUUUCCUCUCAUAGAACUGGUACUUUUCCUGGCUUUCUUUCAAUUUUCUCGCAUUGUCUUCAAUCUGCUGCUUAUAAUCCAUCUGCGUAAUGCCUUUAGCUCUUUUCAUGUUGUAAAAAAAAAACCCACCUCUAAAGCUCUAAAGGCAUUGAUACCCGCUUGCUUUUCUUCCAGUAAUUGUUUACUUUGUUCAAAGUCUUCAUUGAUAUCGUCA
rnacentral:sRNA from 1 species